GACGAACGCUGGCGGCGUGCUUAACACAUGCAAGUCGAACGGUAAGGCCCCUUCUGGGGUACACGAGUGGCGAACGGGUGAGUAACACGUGGGUGAUCUGCCCUGCACUUCGGGAUAAGCCUGGGAAACUGGGUCUAAUACCGGAUAGGACCACGCUCUUCAUGGAGUGUGGUGGAAAGCUUUUGCGGUGUGGGAUGGGCCCGCGGCCUAUCAGCUUGUUGGUGGGGUGAUGGCCUACCAAGGCGACGACGGGUAGCCGGCCUGAGAGGGUGUCCGGCCACACUGGGACUGAGAUACGGCCCAGACUCCUACGGGAGGCAGCGGUGGGGAAUAUUGCACAAUGGGCGCAAGCCUGAUGCAGCGACGCCGCGUGGGGGAUGACGGCCUUCGGGUUGUAAACCUCUUUCAGUACCGACGAAGCGCAAGUGACGGUAGGUACAGAAGAAGCACCGGCCAACUACGUG
rnacentral:rRNA from 1 species